rnacentral:rRNA from 1 species
UACAGAGGGUGCGAGCGUUAAUCGGAAUUACUGGGCGUAAAGCGCGCGUAGGUGGUUUGGUAAGUCGGUUGUGAAAUCCCCAGGCUUAACCUGGGAAUUGCAGUCGAUACUGUCUGACUCGAGUGUGGAAGAGGGAAGCGGAAUUUCCGGUGUAGCGGUGAAAUGCGUAGAUAUCGGAAGGAACACCAGUGGCGAAGGCGGCUUCCUGGUCCAACACUGACUAUGAGGCGCGAAAGCGUGGGUAGCGAACAGG